CCUACGGGUGGCAGCAGUAGGGAAUUUUCGUCAAUGGGCGCAAGCCUGAACGAGCAAUGCCGCGUGAACGAGGAAGGUCUUCGGAUCGUAAAGUUCUGUUGAAGGGGAAAAAGAGCGGAGAGAGGAAAUGGUCUCCGAUUGAUAUUACCCUUCGAGGAAGUCACGGCUAACUACGUGCCAGCAGCCGCGGUAAUACGUAGGAUGCGAGCGUUAUCCGGAUUUAUUGGGUUUAAAGGGUGCGUAGGCGGAGCGUUAAGUCAGUGGUCAAAUUGAGGGGCUCAACCCCUUCCCGCCAUUGAAACUGGCGCUCUUGAGUGGAAGAGAAGUAUGCGGAAUGCGUGGUGUAGCGGUGAAAUGCAUAGAUAUCACGCAGAACCCCGAUUGCGAAGGCAGCAUGCCGGCUUCCGACUGACGCUGAAGCACGAAAGCGUGGGGAUCGAACAGGAUUAGAUACCCCUGUAGUC
rnacentral:rRNA from 1 species